AUUUGUACCUAUGAGAUGCUAAAGAUAACAGUGCUUUUUAGCUUUUUAGUACAUUGGUAAUUGUAGAUUGUUCUGAAUUACUAUGUCUUUUUUGGAAGCUGUUGCUGAGGAUGACGUAGCUUUCUGAAUGGAGAGAAAGUGAAGGUUCACUGGCACUAAUGCUUCCCUAGACUAGCUUAGGAGUUGGUAUUUGGUGUCUGUCUGUUCAUCUAUUGUCAUUGGAGGUUAAGCUAUGGAAGGAAGCAAAGUCCCCGAGAAGUGGUACAUCAAUCUUCCUCAUAACAGUGACAUGUCAAUCUGUAAAACAAGGUGGAAACAGAUGAAAAGAACCUGUAACGAUCAACAUCUCCGAGGCCCGCUAAUCCCGUGGUUGGUGUUAGUUAGAACUGCUCACAGCAAGGCGAAGACUCCAUUUGGAUAGGAUUAUGGAAAUCAGAGGGCGAAUUUUGCCUUUAUCAGAUAACAGCAGUUGAUCUGACCACAGCGCUCAGAACUUAUUAAAAAUUCAUUGGCUCUCUCAGCGGUGAGAAAUCCUGAUUGUUCCUGCAGAUGUUUUAUGCUCUGGAAAAGUUCUGCUCACCUGUAAUUCAGAAUCGCAAACGUUCCCAAAUCACACUGCUUUAACGUUGUUGUGUGUUCCAGAAGCACGGCUCUUCUCUAGCACCUUCUGCUUCCCUUGGCUUUCUCCUGAACAACUUUCCGUCCUCAGCCUCCUGUCUGCAGAGGUGAAGAAUUUCUUCUCUUCCUGAGUGCUUCUGUUAACACGUUGCUCUAGUGGUUUCUGAGUGGUGAGGGAAAAAUCCAAAAGGAAGAACAGCUUUAUCAUAUCCCAGACACUGAACAUGAAUGAAACGCUGACAGGAUCCGUUCAAACCAGACAGCCAAGUGGUGGGAUGCUGCUUUCAUACGUAAUGAACCCAUUAAUUACUUCUCUCCAUGGACUGCCAUUCGCCCUAGCAGGAAGAGAGACAGGAGCAGAGGGGCGUGUGCUGUUCACUAGGUGCUCUCUGAGCAGCUUGUCACUGAGGAGGGAAUCCAGAGGAGGCUGCAGCUCUGGAGUGUGAUCAGGUAGACCAGGCAAGGGUUAUUUUGACAGGCAGUUAAAUGACGUAUUUUUGGAAGGAAAAAAAAGAGAGCUUAGCUUAGCAAGAGGUAGCUGGAAUUCAGUUCCCGGAUGUCUUACGAAUGGCAUCUCUCCUGUCUGUCCUUUUGGCUAGAAACAUUUCCCGCCUCUGCCAUGCAGUGUUACAGAGGUUCUGUCCAGUUUUCUCCAGUGAAAGAGAACUUUUCAGAGGUCUUAGAAGGAAAGCAUAUACUGUGAGUUUUAAAAAGGGUGACAGGGAAAGGCUUUCUUUUCCUUAAUAAAAGACACAUAUGUUUUUAUACAUCCUUUGGGCACAUGUGUUUUGUUGCUGUGGAAUAAAGCAUUACAAAUCACUUGGUAUAAAAUGUAAUGAAUGGUCUUCAACCAGUUUUUCUUAAACUUCAUGAAAUUCUGAUCAGCUAUAUAAAGUAUAGAUAUAAAAAUGCCAGUUUCAUAAUUUUUGUACUUGUUAAAUCUGGCAAGGACCUUUCACCCACUUCUCAGUGAAGUCCUUUAGGACUAUGACUAGCCACUAGGAUGUUGUAAAAAUUUCUAAUUGUUGAAAACUUCAAACUUGGACAAAGGUGAAAGGAAAUACAUAGACUCCCUUUAGACCCAUUGCUGUGAUUCAGUAACUCCUGGUAUUUUUCUCUUUAUUGAAAUACUUGAAAGGAAAUUUCCUUUCAUUUCUUUCUGUUUAACUCUAUGUAGUUUAAAACUACACAAACCCUUUUCAGAUGUUCUCUGUGGUCAUCCACACUAGCCACUCUACUUGAAAUCCCUUGUUUCUCAGAAGCUCUCUCUUUUCAUAGGGUUUCUCAAGUGAGACUUCAAAGUGUACACUUGUACUUAGUUGGCAAGCAUUACAUAUGAGAAAGAAGUAAUUUGAAUUUCAUAAUAUCUUCCAUGCUGAUCGGGAGCAUGAAUAUACAAGAGAAAAUAUCUCUAGUACUUUCUUGAACCCUUUCCUACUUGACACUGAUGCUGUACUACUAAAAAGAAUUAUAAUUUUGGGGGCAUGGAGAAGAUGGCUCAGUGGUUAAGAGUGUGUAUUGCUCUUACAGAGGACCUGAGCACCCAUGUUCCCAGCACCCAUGUUGGGCAGCUUACAAUUACCUGUAACUCUGGUUCUAGGAGACCUGACACCUUCUGGUCACCAUGUGCACCUGCACUUGGGUAUCUGCACUCAUAUACACAUACCCACACACAGACACAAAUAAACAUAAUCAAAAAAUAAAUCUUUUAAAAACUU